rnacentral:RNase_P_RNA from 1 species
CAUGUGGAUCAGGGCGUCGCUGUGUUAACGCGCAGAGGAAAGUCCGGACUCCGCAGGGCAGUGAGCCUGGUAACGCCAGGGCGGAGCGAUCCGACGGAAAGUGCAACAGAGAGCAGACCGCCGAUGGCUCUUCGGAGCACAGGCAAGGGUGAAAGGGUGGGGUAAGAGCCCACCGCCGCGCUGGUGACAGGGCGGGCAAGGUAAACCCCUCACGGAGCAAGACCAAAUAAGCCGGCGUGCUGAGCGAUCAGUGAGGAUUGGCCCGAUCGAGCCGGCGGGUAGGUCGCUAGAGGCCAGCAGUGAUGCGGGUCCCAGAGGAAUGACGUCACACGACAGAAUCCGGCUUACCGAUCCACCACGGCCC